GGUGCGCCCGGCACGCCGCCCGCCCGCCGGUGCGGCAGCCGCGGGCGGGAAGCGGGUUGUUGUUGUUUUUUUUUUUUCCUCCUUUCCCUUAAUCCUUCCCCACGUCCUCCCACCCCCACCUUUUUUUUUUUUCCGUUUAACUUUUUUUUUUUUUUUUUUUUUUCUCCCGCUCGCGAAGGGAGGAUGGGAGUGGGUCUGUUGGCAGCAGAGAUUUUGUGCGUGGGGACACGGCAGCCGCGUCCGUGGCUUCCCCCCCGCCCCACCUCGCGCCGAGGGAAGCUCACGGGGCUGAUGAGCGGCCACGGAGGACGCCUGCGGCCGCCGGGGAGCUCCGCCGCCCUGAGCCGGAGCGGGCCGGGACGGGCUGCCCGGCAGCCGCAGCCGAGGAGGUAACGCCGCUGUGGGAGCCGCCGGAAGCGGGAGGCACGGCGGCCCCUUCCCGCCCUUCCCGCCGCCGUGAGAGGAGCGCCCGCGGAGCCCGCCCUGAGGGCCGAGCGCUGCGCCGGGCCCCGCGCUGAGGGCUGUGGAGAGGAUCCCGCCCGCCUGGCUGGUAGCGGGCUCCCAGGGAGAGUGUCUGCCCUGCCGGCACAGCAGACGCCUUGGGUGAUUCAGAAAUGAGCAGUGGGAGCGCUCGGUGAUUUUCACGGGAGGAAGACAGCAGCCAGCAAGGCCCCGGCUCCCUGCCAUCUUGAGCCCUUCCUGGUGAUUUGCAGCAGCACAGAUAAGUAUGGAGCACUGAGGACUGAAGUCAGCGUUUGGACCUGACUUUAUUUUAGUGUAAAUGACCACACGAGAUUCAUACCAACAGAGAUAUAGGAGUAAAAUAGCAGAAGUACAUAAAUGCCUCUCCUAAAAGUACGGUUUCGAGUAUUUAAAGGUUAAGGAGAUAUAUAGAAAAGAGUCCUCUCCACAUGUGUUUAUGUUUACGUGUCCUAACAGAAGGUGACGCAUUAUCUUACAUGCCAGGUAUGUUUUGGAUGAAUCUGUAUCACCCUAUUGAUUUCAGAGGAACUGCAUUGAUUUAGGUUAGUGAAGGAACUAACCCAGCUAAGUUUCAGAUAAUUGCAAUAAUAUCUCUGUCUCUUCCAGUCAGAUUUGCCCUUCGUGUUUAGUUGUUUCAUAAUCCUGCAGCUCUCCAUUUCAUCGUUACAAGACCAGAAUCUCUAUUGUAAAAACUGAAAAGGAAAAAAACCUACCACCUUAAAAGGCAGUCUUUUUAUAUUCCAAUCUUUAUUUUCUUGUUUAAAUAAACUUAGGGCACAAAAGCUCAUCCUAUUUGUUUUUUAAAUAGGCCAAUUUAGUUUCAUUUACUUACACCGAUAUUUUAUACAGCCAAAAGCUCUCAGAAGGAAAACGUGUUCAAUGCACCAGAACCCUUUAGGGUUUUGAUGAAAGACACGAUAUCAUGAGUAACAUCUCCACUUCUGUUAUUUUUUUAAUAUAGUAGCGACAAGAUUGAAUCACCAUUUUUAGCUAUUCUUCAGCAGAACUCAUAAUCUAUCAACGUGUCAGCUCGACAGCAGUUUUCUCUUCACACUAAUGUGAACCAGAAGGUCCAGCUAUCCUAGAUUUUGACAAUUUUAUCUGAGAUUGCAUACAUUGCAGAAUUUUGAAGAAAAUGAAUUGUAGGACCUACUAUGCUUUUCUAAGCACGUACAAAACGUAAAACACGUCUUCAAAAACAUUUUAAACUCAUUUUACAGGAUCACAUUCCUAAGUUAGGUGUUUCAUAAGCAUUGGGUUAUAAGCACUCUAAAAUAACAAGUGUAAAAUUAUAUGUGGGUCCCCGUAUCUUUUUAAAUGUCUCAGAUUGCCCUCUAUGUUGUUACAUAAUGCAUCAUAAAGAAAUACGUGCCUUCAUUCUCUUUAAAUCGCUCUGGCAUGGAUAGUGCUAAGCCUUCCUUCAAGUCCUCGUUAUGCAAGUCCUUGCUACUGUUAAUAGCUGUCAGCUCAGUGUGGUUAGUUAAAAAACAAGGUAACCACAGCUUUUGUGAAGCUCAUUGCAUUGCUGGAAUUCACACUGACUCAGUUCCAGGUGCUUUGCUCCCUUUCUCAGCUAUAAAUGGAAUUAUUAUGAGCAAACAGGUUUUUCUCCAUUAGAAGAAAGUCCCACUCAUUCCACUACAUCACAAGCUAAUCUGCUUUUUGUUUAGUUGUGCCUACAAGCGUAUUGUGUUAUAAAUAUCUGGAUGCACUCCUGCAGUGUUAAAUCAUGGUGAAAUAGACCAGAAUACAGUAAUAUUUUGAAAGUUUGUCAAAAAAAAAUGCAGACAUGUAACUAUGUUCUGAAAAACACCUAGCACAGUAAAAAUUCACGACCAACCUAACAGUUAUUAGGUAACAAAUAAUCCAUAUAGGCACUAAGCGAUAUUAUGUAAAGUAAAAUCUGUGUUACGCAGUAUAAGCAGCAUUCGGGUGAAAUUGAGGCGAUGUGUGAAAAACAGAAAGAAUAAUUUCUAAAGCUAUGAUGUUACACUGCUCUGUAUUUCUUUACUUGGGAAGUGGAAUUUUCCUCGUCUUUUUGUAAAGGCACAAAAGUAACAACAGACACUUUAAAGGUGCUUUGCCUGCUAUUUGCUCUUUUAUUUUUCCCCCGUCUAUCAAACAGAUCAUUUGUGGAAGAAAAUCAGGAGAAACCAAGCAGGGUUUGCCGGUAUCUCAGAGGUCUUUCCAAGUAGCGUCUUCUUUAACAAGGCCUCAGAUUUAAAGAUACUGAAACAGGAAUAUCUCAACAUUCGUAAUACUGCCUACAUUAAGAAAAAUUUUGCUCUCAGUUUAUACUCGUGUGGGUAUGCAAGCAGCAAGUCAGUGAAGCAUCACCAGGAAAGGACGGUUCUGUUUCAUAUUCUAGUAACUGAUCUAUUAGUUUAACAGUCCUCGGUUUCAUUUUUCCUAUUUUUUUUUCCCCUUUUUGUUAUUCCUGGAAAUUUGGAGUGCUAGCUUGUUCGUUGCUUUCCCUUCCCCUGCUAGUACCCAUUUUAAAAGGUGCAGCCCUAUUCUGCUCAGGUUUUGUUCUCACACAUGGAAAUUUUUAAAGUUCUUUUUUGCAAGCAGUAGGUUGGUGAGGGAGAGAUCUGCACUAUAAAAUAGCAAACCAACUAAACUGUACUCCAGUGGGAGAUUAAAUAAGAAAGAAGAGAAUGGCCGAGGCGAGUCGUUUGUCGCAGAUGUUCAUGCAGUUCUGUGUUUGGUUUUAAGCUGGAUUCAUCAAACGUGCUAAAGAGUAAUUUUUGUCUGAUAUGAAGUUUCUAUCCAAAGAGUCUGAGUGGGUUCGGUUUAAACCGUGGUUUGAAAAUGCAAGGGAAUGUUACCGGUCGGACACAAGAAAGUCAGACUGUUUUUGCAAUCUUAAUUCAGUAGUAAGAAGCAAAAUGUAUUGGAAUUAAAUUGCUGUGUAACACAGUUACUUAAGUUUCACAAAUCCCUUUGUGUACUGAGUACAAAUAUUUUACCAUAAAUGUCAGAAUUCCAUAGAUGAUAAAGGGUGCUUAUGCUGUUGGAGGGUAAGCAUGAAAUGCCGACGUGAUAACGUCUGAUACCAAAAUGGUGUAUGCUGCUUGUACAGUAUUUCCCAAGUUUACGACGUAACUUUAGUAAUAAAACUUAGUAAAAACGCAUGAGAUGAGCACAAAUGUAAUACUUACAAUUACCAGACUAUCUCAAAAAAAAAUAUUUAACAGGGUGGAACACAAAUGAGGAGGCCCAGAAAUAAAAUUACUUUAAAAGGGGGAUUUUGAAAAAUUCAUCAUAUCAAACUCAUUCUUAGUUCCUGUAAGUUUCUGUCUCUUUUAACAUAUUUUCCCCUUUUAAAGUUCAUUUCUGUCUCUGUUCCCUCAAAAAUUCUGCGCUCCUUCCCCAAAAAGGGAAGCAUGUUAUGGUUACAAAUACCUUCUGCUGACUGAAGUAAAAUGAUCUUUUUUCCCAAACGAAAAUGUAUGUAUUAAUUCGCUAAACUGUUCCAGCUAUGUUUACGUAUGUUAUUUCUGAGAAAUGAUGAGGGCUGCACGAUAUACUGCAGCAUACUACGAUGUAGUAGCUGUAGUCGAGCAUUUUUGUUAUUUGUAAUCAAAUAGACAGAAUUGUCAGCCUAUUUGCUUUUAAGUACCUGGAAGCUGAAUUAGAAACACGAUUUUUAAUACAAUGAAUUUGACAUUUCAGUCUGCACUUGCUUUUUUUCUUUCGUAAAUGAGCACUGAUUAUCAGAAAAAUCAAGGCUUACAUAAUCAAGCCAUACAUUUUUCUGCUCUUCUUUCUCUUCCCCCACUUUAGCCAUCAUUUUCCUCGGAAAAAUGAAAAUUUUUGAAUAGAGAAUUACUAUGACAUACUAAUUAUAUACACAUUUUCACGGGACUGCAUAACCAGCCUAUUUGUAUGUAUUUAGUAAAAGAAGGCCGUCAACAAAAUAUUACAACCUUGAGAUGGCUAAACUUUAAAAUUACAGUAAUCAUUAAAUACAGCAUUAUCUUGUUGAUGUGCCUGUCUGUGUACCACUGAGUCAUUUUUCUUUGCUUGGAGAAGUAGGGUGCUUCUAUUUAUUCCUUAUUCAGAUAACAGAAAUAAGAACGUCCUACCCCAUUUUUUUUUAAUCAUCGCAAAGCUGAUUCCCCUUCAUAAAGAAGCUGGUUUUCAUAUUCAGUUUUCAGAGGGAGAAGUGAUUGCCGUGGACAAAUAUAUAGCAAAUGAAUUGAAGCUCUGUCCUACUAGAACAAUUACAAAUUGAAUUAAUUGCAAAGAAUAAUAUUACAAUUCUAGCUAAAUAUGUUAACAUGAACUCCUGCCCAUAGGUGGCAGUCAGCUGUCACUAUAGUAGGGAUGCCAAACUUUUGGUUCAUGAUAUUCAUACUUAUGCUGAUGUAAUUUUAAUGGAGUAUGCAUAUGUGCAUGUACAGAAGUAUGCAGAUGCCUGCAUUGGGAGAAGGGGGAGAGGUAAAAUUAACCCCCAAAUUAAUUAUUGAGUAUGAGUAUUCUUAAUUACUCUAUAUAAGCAAAGUAAAUUCUCAUUUUUUGGAGAGAAGUUCCAAGUAAAAACACACCAACUAUUUUUUUAUCAGUCUUGCUGAUGCUCAUCUAAAAGAAGUAGAGAACGUUCAGAAAUGAGCAAAUUUGCCCCUACAAGUUGAGUGGAAAGGCAAGUAUCUGGCCAGCCUUAGACAGCAUGACCUCAUACUAUGCCCAAUCCUCCUAGCUAUGUUCCUAUUUCAUAGUUCUUUGUCUGUAAAUUACAGAAGUGCUGAAAUGAUGAUGUUGUAUCCUAGAAAUCCCAGCAAUACAUUUGGCAGAUCCAGAAAAGGUACUGGGAGUGAAUGCAUGCUCUCUGACAUGGAGAGCCAGCAGCCUGCAAUUCUCUUUCCCUUUGCAGAGCUUCUUUAGACACCCGUGGCAGCACUGCACGAGGGGAAGAUGCAGCCAAUGAGAGCAAAGAUCCACUCAAUUUUGCCCUCAGCUUUUUUAGGGCUUUAUGUGGUUUAUGAGGACUUCCUUUUGCAAUAGAACUAAGGAGGCACUUGAGACCCCACCAAAACUGAAGGGGAUAGAAGAAGCUAAUAAGGCCAAGUUGUCUCAGUCUAAAACAAACAGAAGUGGUGAAACUAUGUGUGACAUACUAAGACAACAGAGCUCUCAUGAGAAAAGACAACUGAAAAUUAAAAUUCCUGAGUAGGUAAAAUCUUAUUCUUUUUACUGUCACAGCUACACUAGGAUACUUUUUAGUUAAGAUUAAUCUAAUUAUACAUCAAAGUAGCCCACUGUAUGCAUUUCACAGAGGUCAGGAAGUAGCAUUUUACAAAAUGGAAAGUGUGAAAAACACACAAUUAUUUGUUGCUACCGGAGUGUUCUACUGUGAUGCAAGAUUAAGGGCUCAGAAUUGAACAGAAUGGUGCAGUAUUAUUAAAAACAGAAGGCCUAAUUCUCCUUAUGCAAGGAAGGCAACUAUACACACCAUUGUAUAAGCUGAAGCAGUCGGUACGAUUUCAUAGUUGAACAGGGUAUUUUCACGUGCAUGCGACCAUUACGUGGCUAAUUAGAUACUUGCAUAUGCACAGCCCCAUUUGCUCCCCAACUAUAAUAAUUACGAGGAUUGCACUCCGCAUUAAUUUACACUCUUGUGUAACAGAAUUGAAUACAAGAUAGCAGGUGGUGAUAAACUGGCUGGUGGCAAAUGUGUAAAUUUGAUAUGCAUUUUGAAAAUCAAUACUUUCAUACUCAGUGCUGAUCUUGACAUGGAAAAGACUGGUGAAGAACUACUCGGCCAUCAAUUCUGAUCCCAGCUAUUGCAGACAGCCAUGUUGUACUGUGCAAGUUAUCUGCAGAGGUAUCAAACUCCAUCUUGAAAGUACCUUUGUCGUAAGGUUGCUCUUAAUUUCCAUUCCUCUAAAUGGUUACAGAUUUCUGAUAACAAGUAGUCAAAACCAGCUGAUGCCCUCACGUUCUGUAAACAUCUUGGAAUUCAGUUUAAAUAACCUUUCUCUCUCCCUAAGGAUAAAGCCCCUUCCAAUCUGUCACUCCUUGAGCAUUCAUAGAUUGCUUUCUUUUCAUUGUCAGCUGUCAUAACCUACUCAGCCUCGGCUCUGCCCAAACAGCAGUGCUACACCUGACACCGAAGAGGAUGCCUUUCCCCAGCCAAUCUUCUAACCCUUCUUUGUACAUUUGCACUUGCAAUAAAUCUUUUUUAAGAUGCAAGAUUAGAAGUACGCAUAGUUCUCCAGAGAAGAUCUUGUCAGGGCCUUUUGAGUAGCAUUAACACCUUCCUAUCCCUGCUGAAACUAAUAUUUUAAUAUUUAAAAGCUUUUUUUUAUUCUAUGCAGACCUGCAUGCUAUGAGUGUCUCAAAGGCCUUAAGGACUGAUUGAGACACCUGCUUUACAUUCUUUUUUUUUUUUUUUUUUUUUUUUUUAUGGACACUGAUAGCAAAAUUCUUGUUAUUCCUAGUUUACGACCUUGAACUUUAUACCAUUACUGGUAUUGCACGACAAGGGUGUCAAAAGGCUUUUUACAAGAAGGGUGUCAUCAGUUUCAUCUCGGCCUCGGGCUUCCUGUGAGUUUUCUAGCAUGUCCAGAUGUGUUCUCUACACUUUGCACAACUACGGACGUGAGAUAGUACACGCACCUGAUACAGUGCAGGGCCUUGCAGAUGAGCUAGCUUGGCUCACGAAGCAGAGUUGUCUCUGGUAUUACAUUACCUCAGGCACAUCACAGUAUGUUAUUUCAGGUAAGUCUUCAGAAAGUCAUGCAGUACUUCUGACUCAAUGCCAUACCCUGGCUUCAUUUGACAGCUCUGGGAGCAAGAGACCAAAUUUUGAAGUUUUUUUCCAGAAUCAACAGAGAUGGACUUUACUUCGCAUUGUAUUAUUUUCUGUUGAACUUGUACUUUGAUCUCCAGUUUACAAGUUAUGCCAGUAAGAGUGAAGGUGGAUCAGGAUGCACAGGAGUUAAGUGGCAGUCUUGAAUAACUUGUAAAAAUAGGAAUUACAUGAGCCUAGAGGAUUUUGGCUAUUGUUCAUACAACAAAGGGCACAAAACUCAUAUUAUAGGCCUGAUUCAGUGUCCUGGAACCUGGCACAUGCCAAACCCAGCAAAAGCUCCUAAGUGUGGUAUUUCUAUUGUAAAGAUAAACCGCACUGGUCAAAUUUUCUUAGCUGUAAUGCAGGCACAGAAAUAUAUCAAACAGAAUUAGGUUUUGUGCUCUUAGUUGUAUUAAAUUCCCCCUCUGUGUUAACAGUGUCCUAGGUUUGUGUCACCCGCUGAUCAUACGCUUAAUUCCUAGGUUAAGAUACUCAGUGAAAAUAGUUCAUACAGUCUGUCUAGGAUUGUUCCUUGAGGAAGUCCAACAGGAACCUGCCAUUAGCUUGACAGUUCUUCAAAACUACUUCACAUUCGUUAUUAGAGUUAAUUUAGUAGUUGCUAUCUUCCGUAGCUUAACUGAUUAUGUUCUUCAAACUAGUAUACUAAAAAUAUUUCCCUGAAAUCUAGAAUCUAGUCAGAUUAGGUCAACUUGUUUCCUUGACGUGGAAAGGUAGGGUUUUUUUUCUUUUUAUUUAUUUUUCACGUGUGGCGUAAUCUACUCUCAGGAAAGCUUUGUGACAUUUUUCUUACCUUACAUUGAUCUCCUUUUAUCCCAUGCUUCCUCGAUCCAAUUUCUUGAUGGGCAGUCCCAGUUUUUCUGUUUUUGUUUUGUUUUUUUCCCCUAAUAUUUUAAAUUAGCAGCUUUGGUUACAUCUAAAAUCCUAUUUGAGGUGGCUGCUUUUUCUACUUGGAUGCAAAGACCUAUCUGUGCAAGUUUUCCCACCCCGAAAUUAAGAAAGUGGAAAUAGGACUAAUUUUUUUUUUGUCAUUUCACCUCUAUCUGAAGGGUUCACAGAGAUGCUCACUCACAGAGAUGAUGGUGAAAUAUGGAUUUUCUUGGAAAUUAUAGCAUGUGGCUGAAAAGGCCAACAAAAAUGAGAGCCUCUAAAUCCUGCAAUUUGCUGUUCUGGGAUUUUUGUACUGCACUUCUGGUCCAGCCAAGGGCUGGUCGUAUCUUGGAGAUUUUAUAAAGUCUUCAAAAGAAAGUGAGCGUGGCUGCGUGACUGGAAGGUUGCAUCAAGUUAAAAAAAACGUUUUAUGAAAACCUUAAGUUACAUCCAAAUGAAGAUAACAAUAAAAAAACCAUCUAUCUGAUGGGCUGUAUAUAUGUAUCUGUAAAAACAGAAUGAAAUGCAUCAAAAGAGGGGCUUGAGGAAACUUUCAUUAGCCAACAUGCUAUACAUUUUAGCCACGGCUCUAGAGGAAGUUAGAGGUAACUACACUUUUAGACUAGGACUAAAUCAGUGAGCAAAUGAGCAAGUAUAACUUUGGGAAAGAAAAAGGCAGCUUUGUAAGAUGGAAACGGUGCCUCCCAAAGUUCCUCUGUAUGGGGAGAGGAGAUUUGGUUCAAACACCUACAAGGAAUUCAAAUAAGAUGUUCAACAUCUUUUACUAAAGCAUCCCCCCCCCCAAAAAAAAGGAGUGAAGAGGCAGAUUCUCACUGCACAAGAGACACAUGAAAAGAUAGUAAGUAUAGGACAGAAGCAAUUGCUCGCUUUUCACAGUGAUGGGAGACAAAUAGCAGAGUCCUUGCCUACUAUUAAGCAGCAUUCUCAGAAAUACUCUGGAAAGGGACAUGAGUAAAAGUUACAAAGUUUACAGACAUCACAAAGGCAGGAGGAAGGUGGAGAUGUGAUAGGGGCUGCCUUGAAAACAUCCCUGUGCUGCCUGGAAUUACAAAGAAAGGGAACGAAUUUAAAAACAAACAAACAAAAACAUGGUCAGGUGCCAUGUAAAUCUUUUCUAAACGCUUUCUAAGCACUGUGUGCGUUUCUGCCUUUAGCAUACAUGCGUAGCAGUGGGCAUGUUUAAAAACAUAGGACAAACAAAGCUGGAAAGCUAACAUCAGAACCUGCUGUACCAGGUGAAAACAACAAUUUGCUCCAUGUGCUCCUCCCUAGGCUUCAGAAAGGCCAAGAGGAAAAGAACCAAUGUGAGACAGGGCAUUGCUGAAAACAUGCUGUGCAGUGAUGAAGGUGGCCUGUAGAACAGCAUGUUUAUACUUUGACCUGUGUUUGCACCUGUCUUCCCCCCUAUUAUCCUCUUAGAUCAAAUCUAUUAAUAAUUGUAAAGUAGUUGUAAUAGCACACUGAAAAUUGUUAGUCAGCAGGGGAGAGCUUUAUUGCCAGAAUUGUAACUCACACAUGGAAAACUUGGGGUGAAAGAGAAGCAGCAGCAGGCUUUGCUAGUGUAGUUUCACAGAUGAGGCAAUUGGGAGUACCCUGAUGGUCAGGAUUAGUCUUGUGAUUAAUCACAGUGUCACAGAAUCAUCACAGAAUGGCUUGGUUUGGAAGGGACCUCAGAGUUCACGCAGUUCCAACCCCUUGCUGCACACAGGGCUGCCACCCCCCAGCUCAGCUGUCCGUGGCUCCAUCCAUUCUGGCCUUGAGCACCACCAGGGAUGGAGCACCACAGCUUCUCCGGGCAGCUGUGCCAGUGCCUCAACACCUUCUGAGUAAAAAAUUGCUACCUAAUAUCUAAGCUCAAUCUCCCCUUUUUUAGCUUUAAACCAUUCUCCCUCGCCCUGUCACUAUCAGACCGUGUAAAAAGUCAGUCCCCCUCCUUAGUGUUUAUAAGCACCCUUCAAGUACUGGAAAGCUGCAAUGAGGUGUCCCCAGAGCCUUCUCUUUUCCAAGCUAAGGGUUUGUUCCCUUAGCCUGUCUUCAUGCGAGAGGUUCUCCAGCCCUCUGGACAUCUCCGUGGUCCUUCUCUGGACCCACUCCAACAGCUCUCCAUAUCUUUCUUUACUGACCCCUAUGAUCAGUACAACCUGUACUCAACUGUACUACAACAAAUGCUAACAGCACAAGUUGUGAGUCACAGUCGCUACAGAAGACCACCGAACCAUCCAUUUUAAGUGGACAGUUGUGGUAAUGGAAAGCAGGUAAAAAUGUAUGCAGGUUGUUCUUAAAAGAAUGUCUUCUAUUUAUUUCCCUGGAAACUACAACUAAGAGCACAGUUACAUUAUUUGAUAAAGCAAAUUCUCAGCUACAAAACAUUAUUUUUUCAACACAGUCACCACCAUUCGCUAUGCAUUUCUGCCAGCGAUGAACAAGAGCCUGUAUGCUGCACCCAUUAAAAUCUGCAUCUCUACUGCCAUACCUCCAACAUCUACCUCUGACAUUAUGGGCCAACAUAAUAAAAUCAGAGACAUUGCUUUCACAGCAGCCCUCGUAUUUAAAAAGGCUGCCUGCAUGCUAGGGAACUACAAGGAGUUUCAUCUCCAGCUGGGAGCUUACAGGCUGGGCUCUACAAGACAGACUCGAGUGUCUGAGAAGGUCACGUGGUGACCCACAGGCCACCAGUGGGAUGCAGAUGGGAAAGAAGCAAAUAAAGAUCUUGGGUGUAACAAGUGCAAAUGAGAGACCUUCAGUACUAAAUCUCAUCUACAGCAGCAUUUGUUGUUCUGGUUACCUGUGCUCAAGAAAAGUCAAACAACCAAAUGCAGAAAGAACUGUUCAGGACAACAUUGAGCUUGCCUUAGAAAAACUAGUUAAAAAGGGUUUUGGUCAACAACUCAGCAAAAGACAGAGAGGGAAUGUUUUUAAUACAAGUGUGAAAAAGUUAAAACAAAGAGGGGAAAAGCUGGUACUUAAGUAGCAUAACCAUGACUAAAAUUGAAACGAGGUGCUUUUUAGUUCUGUGAAGAAGGUAGCUCUAAGAACAGCUUUUCAAUAGGAGUAAUGGUAAAAGAAAUUGGUUUUAAAUCAAGACUAAGUUUAUGAAUGGGAUUAUCUGACCUGGCUUCUCUCCCAGGGCAGAUCUUCCUAUUUUGUUCUGCUCUAUUUAGGGUUGCAAUACAAGCCUUUCUCCCCCUUUGCCCCAAGGAGCUCUCCCUCUCUCACAGCUUUCCUCCCCCUUGCUGCUCAGGUGUCAGCAAGAAGCAGGGCUGGGCACGCUGAGCAGAGCCUUUGUGAAACACAGGGAGAGAUGGUGGGACCAGUGCUCUUCCAGCAGGCCAGCUGUGUGCAUGAUGAAUGCUAACAUUUUUAACCACUGUACAGUGGCAGCAAGCAUUUUUAAGCAGUGAUCAAUUUUGUCCUCUAGCGUCCUGUUGAACAUCAGUAAAUAUGUUAUUAAGAGGCUUGGUAGUGUGCUCCUUUGCAAUCAAGGCCAAGAUGUAGCCAGAUACUCAUCUUAAUCUCUCCAAACACAUUUCUAAUGAAUUUUUACAGUGCCAGGAACAAAGGUCCCUGGUCUGAAGUGGGACACUUGCAUGACAAAAGCAAAUUACAAUAAAUAAUACAUUGUGUUUAUGAUGUCAAAUUGUCACCUAAAGACAGUGGUAAAAAGCUUGUAGUAUAGGCUACUGCUAGAAUCCUAUUAAUAAAAUUGCUUUAAAUUACUCCCAAGGUGUAAGAUAGGAUGUUCAUUUGUAGACAGUGCUUUCUCUUGAAUAUUUAUAUUCAACACCUUAUUUAUAUUCUAGCAAGAAACCACUCAAUACUGUGAGGGAUUGGAUUUUGAAAUAACUCCAUUGUAUUGCAACAUUUUUAUUAUUGUUCUGUCCCAUAAAGAUAUAGAUAAACUUCCUUUCUGCUCAGCAGAAGUAUGGGAAAAGAUCAAAGCUCUAAACCUGGUGCAGAGUUGCAACUAGGGGGGAAAGAAAUACUUACAUCUUCUGUCUCCUUGACUGCACAGUCCUCUACUGCUUGGAGUAAUCAGCCCAUACUUCUACACUGUCAACUUUCUGAUCUUCUCCUUCCUGCAGGGACUUCGAUGGGUACAAUUAGACUAUUCCAGUUUCUAUUGUCUUUAAUUCUUCUGAAUUUCCUACAGAACCUGAGAAAUCCACUGAGUUCUAUCAUAUAUGAAGGUAAAUCACAGCAAUGUGUGCUACAGAAAUGGAAUUUUCAUUGAAAUUUAUGCUUCUAGUCAACCUCGGUAGACUGCUGGAGCAUUUUGGCUUCCUUUGACCCAUAGAUUUUCUGGUGCUUUUAAAAUGCUUGAAACAUUGGUGGAAUCUUGGCUCCACUGCAGCAGUGCAUAACAUGCAGGCAGCUGCACUGAAAUGAGCCCCCACAUGUGUCUGAAACUCAAAUGAAAGCAGUUUGGGUAGCAGAGUUGGCUUCCUGCAACCUUCCCAACUUUUAACCUCAGAAAGCGACGUAAUGAAGAUGGAGGAAAAAGCCAAACAUGUAACAUCUUUUACAGUGUAACCACCAAACUUUUCAUUAAUAAUGACAAUUCUAAACUCAUGUCCUGCCUUUUUUCUUUUUUAAAAUUCUGUACUUACUAUCAUUGAAAGCACACAUUUAGCUAAUGUUUCACGUGCUCCAAAUAGCUCUUGAAUGGCAGACCAAGGAAAUCUGAGUUAGGUGGUAUCAAAGCUGUUUGCAUUAAGGUAUUUAUCAGCAGCACCUGAGGUGACAUAUGAUAGUCUAAUUUCCAAUAAAUCAUUAUUGUCAGCUAUGAAGUAAAUUGUCUAUUAAUUAAUUAGUAAAGUCUUUGGACAUUCAUCUUCACCUUGCAGAUCAUUUCCCCAUUUUAAGGGGACAGCAGCAUGUUAAAUCUUUAUUACUGCAGUAACAUGGGGAAAAAAAAGAAAAACAAAAGGAAUUGUUUCAGCAACAACGAUCCUCCCAGCAGAGUCUUGGAGGAGCCUGGAGAUCCAUAGGCCAAAGCAGGAUUCACAUCACCCUAUCCCAGCACCAUGACCAGGUAUGGAGCCGCUGCGUGCUGCCUUGACAUUCCUUAACUUUCAGCUGGGUUCAGUGCAAGCUGCAGGAAAACACCCCAGCCCUCCUUUUGUACCAGGGAGCAAAAUGAAUGAAUUCUGUGGACUGCAAAAUCUGGAGUUCUGAUUUGAAGGGUGCCACUUUCUAACUCUGGGGCAUGGCCAUUGAGAUAAAAGCAGGGAGGGAAGAGCGCAGUAAUCUUCAGGAUGUGUGGCAUCAUUAUUCUUAGAACCUGCGGCAGCCUUUCACACCGCUCCUACCACAUUUGAUUUCAGCUUGAGCUGUACUUUUUUUUUUUAGGGCAGAGAAAUAUUUUCCAAAUUGCCUGAACAUCACUGUAUUUUUUAAAAGGUAUAAUUUUCACCUCUUCCAUUGACUACCUUUUGGGCAAGUCAGUAGCUCGCUUUCCCCUCAUGCAUUUGUCUGUGUCAUAGGAUAACCGUAUUUGCCUGCUAUCAUGAAGUGCUGGAGGGUCCUGCAAUUUAUGUAGCUUCAGAUUGUGGUUUAUCUUGAUGGAGAACUGUAUCUCAGAUACAAAUAUAUUAAUUUCCCUCCUGGAGAAGGAUAUUUUCUGGAAAUAAAAGCCCAUUUCUAAUCAGGCAGGGAAAUGAGGGCAGCACAGCACAUCCGAAGAGAGAUAAAAUACUUGCAAUUUUAAUAUAAGAUGCACAUGUAAGCAUGUUGACUUAGCUUUUUGGAAGUCAAGGAAAUAUCAAAAGUGUUAAUAUUCUUUGUCUCAAAUUAUAUGAAAUCCAAUUUCUAGUGGAAAACAAACAAAAGAUGACCAACCAGACCUAUUGCAUAUCUCAAAACGCAUUGCCACCUGUACAGCUUCUGGGGAGAUCUGUAUGUUAGCAACUGCUUAUAUAAAGGUAAUUCUGUGAUGGAAGGUUUCCUAAAUCAGGUUUCUCUAUAGCUUUGUUUUCCAAAAUACUGUGUAACAUGGAAAGAUGGCAUCAGUUUCUUCUCAGACAUGCAGGUACUCCACUGCACAUAGACAAAAUAAAGGGGCUUAUCACAAAACCAUGCAAUCAUUGAAUCAUAGAAGCCUAGAAUGGUUUGGGUUGGAAGGGACUUCAAAGCCCACCCAGUUCAAACCUCCUGCCAUGGGCAGGGCUGCCACCCACCAGAUCAGGCUGCCCGAGGUCCCAACCAGCCUAGCCUUAUGGAAGCACGUGCCUUCCAACCUGCUGCUGGAUUUUAAUACCCUUGCUUAACAAUGAGUUUCAUCAGUUUAUAGCCUCACUGACUGUGCCACAAGGGAAUGGCUCACACUUCACAAGACACAGAUCAUGGCACAGAACAAGGCAUGAAAGACUGAGAUGUAGGAAGAGGCCAGGUCCUCCAGAGGCAGGACUGGUCUGCCAGGGUCACCCACAGGCUGCUCAUCUCCAGUGCCCUUCUUUGGAGGCAGACCUUGGUCUGUACAGCCAGGCUGGCCCCGAGUCCUCCAUACUCCCCACACCUGCAAGCUCCCCAGCUGCCAAAAGCAACACAUUCGUGAAAUGCUUUCUGCCUGAAUAGCAGAGCAGUGAAAACCACCUCCCAGACUGUUGAAAAUCCCAACAGAUCCACCCUUGUUCACAGCAAUACUUCUCUUCUCACUUCUUAACAUAUUCAUCCAAGGCAACCGCCAAAAUCCGUUAGUGCAGAUCUGCUAGCAAAAAAUCUUGGAUUCCCCUCACUUAUCUUUAAACACCUACAGUACAUACCUGCUGUCUGAAAUCCCAUUGGUGAGAGAGGAAUAACUGCUUUUGUACCACAGGUCACCUCAGUCCCAAGUAGCAACCUGCAGCAGGUCACACUGGUUGUGCUUGGAGACCCCAUUUUCCCAUUGACUGAAGGGAGGCUGCAGGAUUUGCUCAGGUUACAAGUGUUCUGGUGAGAUACAUCACAGGAAGGCUUUUUUGUUCGAUGGUUUCAUUCUGUCUCAUUUGCAUCUGCUCUUUCUCACUAUCACCAGUGGAGUUGCACAAACACUCUUAAAGUUUUGGUUCAUUACUUCAGUAUGUUAAUGAACUCUGAUUUUUUUUUUUCCUAUAUUAUAAUGCCCAAAAGCUGGUUUGGGGCACGAAUACAAACGUGUCUUUUUCCAUCAGAUCUGCUUUCUCAUCAGGGAUACAAGAAGUCUUUCACUGGGUGCCGAACAUAUUUUAUUCAUUUCAUAGAUUUUAGUUUGCAUCUGACAGAGCUAUUUGUUUUGCUGAAUUCUCAAAACUUCUGGAAAGAAGAAACAUUGCCACAGGCACAUCUUCCCAGCAAGCAAGCAAAUGAACCCAAGGGCUGGGAUCUCCAACACAGUGCUACUCUGGUGGCAGCAGCAGGAUUGAGCCUCUUUGCACAAGCAAAAGAGGACACAGCUGGAGCUGCUGUAGUGACAUCACCGCAGGUGAAAAGCAAAGGCAACAUUAACAAGAUUUGGUCUGAAAAAGGAUGCCUGCUCAUCCGAGCACACACUGGCAGAACCUGAGGGUUGGGACAAGUUCUAGCUCCCGGUGACGUGAAUUAAACACCCCUUCUAUUCCCCUCUGUGGCUCAGCUAUCCUUAUUUCAGGGCUGUUGUGUAACUUCUACAGAGAAGGGAAAGAUCAUUUGUUUCCUCAGAUGCACACACACACACACACAACAGUCCCUACUUUAUAUGCAGGAAAAACAGGGUAAGCCUGGGAGAAACAAGAGGAAAGCAAACAGCAUUAACUACAAAUGAACAGGACAGUCCUUAUGAGGAUAAUUUUCUCCUUUUAAAUCUGGUGCCCAUAUUAAAAGCUCUCCCCACAGCACGUGCAGGACCGAUAGUUACUCAGCUGACAGCACAAACCAACAGCGACCCUGGCACCAAUGCAGAGGCAAUAUUUACAAAAGGAUGAACUAUUUCCAAACAAUGCCUCCAAUGUACUAAGCACAAACAGGCUUUUCUUCAGCAGCAAGCAUGCAUGUUGUUUUGUUCCAAUGAUUUUGUUCAUCUACAAAUGUAUUCAUUGUGGACAAUGCAAGGAAAAUGUCAUUCUCUAUUUAUAUCCAAGUUUCCUUUUGUCCUCUUUACAGCAUCUCAGGGCAACAAUGUAGAGGAGAGCCCUGCUCUAAGCCCAUGCUGUCUCUCCCCAUCUCCUCCUGAAGCCCUGGCAGUGCGGAGCAGCAGAGGGUUAACAGGCUCUCUGCAACAGAUUUUUUCUUAGGCACAAAGAUUGGUUUCUCUCCCUCCACUUCCCAGCAGAGAAGACCCAAGUCCUGCCUCUUGCUCCAUCACUCAGAGCACAUAAUGGCCUUGGCAGCGCAGGAUGUGGUGGUAGCAGCGUUCUGAGCUGCAUAAGUGGAUGCACCUGGCACAUCAGCAUGAAUAGGCUAUGUUAAGGCAAUUCUCCCACAGUAAUGUAUGAAACCAUCCACUUCAUGAGCAGCCUCUUGUGAUAAAGGCUGCCUUUCUGCUGGCUUGGAUAAGUUCCCCACUAUGGUCAAAACAGAAUAAUGGAAGACUUUGAAAGAAGAGCCCUUGCAUGGAAAAUAAUUAAUCUAGUAGUGGAGGAGCAGGGAGAAAGAUUUAGGGACACUUGAAAACAAAAAACAAACCCCAGAGUCCUGUGACUAAACUGAAGCCUGGAUGCGGGCUUGCACUGUGUUUUUGUCCUGAAACAAAUAACCUACCCUGAAAGCACCACUCUUGGGUAGGUCGGCCACCCUUUGGGUAGAAAAUAGGAACUUUAUUUUAAAUGACAGUUUAGGAAACAUUAUUGCCUUUCGUAUAUCCUGUGUUUUUCUACAAGGUGGAAAUUUCCACUACUCUCAAGUGCAGCAUUCCACUGUGAUAAGCCUCAGUUUAUUGGCAAACUGAUAAGCAUCGUUUUAGUGUAUUUAAGCACAGCUUAAAAAAAAAUCAAUUGAUAGAAGUCCUUACUUCUACAAUUAAAAUUACUUCCAGUUGGAAGCUCAACCUUAAACAGAGUUUGCCUCUAACAGAUUUCUGCAAUCUUUCCAACUAUGUGUAUACAAAGAGAAUAUUCAUACAUGCCUUGGAUGCAACAGUGAAAUGAAUGUAAUGCAUUCCACAUGUUCUAAGAAACUGAAG
ensembl:lncRNA